rnacentral:sRNA from 1 species
UUUUAGCCCUGAUGGAAGCGGCAUCCUUUUGAUCCGCUUUUUCAGCGGGCAAAAGAUAUAGCGGACAGCAGGAACAGCU